GUUGGGUAGGGGAGCGUUCUGUAAGCCUGUGAAGGUGUGUCGUGAGGCAUGCUGGAGGUAUCAGAAGUGCGAAUGCUGACAUAAGUAACGAUAAAGCGGGUGAAAAGCCCGCUCGCCGGAAGACCAAGGGUUCCUGUCCAACGUUAAUCGGGGCAGGGUGAGUCGACCCCUAAGGCGAGGCCGAAAGGCGUAGUCGAUGGGAAACGGGUUAAUAUUCCCGUACUUGGUGUUACUGCGAAGGGGGGACGGAGAAGGCUAUGUUGGCCGGGCGACGGUUGUCCCGGUUUAAGCGUGUAGGUGUGUGUUCCAGGUAAAUCCGGUUCACUUUAACACUGAGGCGUGACGACGAGGCACUACGGUGCUGAAGCAACAAAUGCCCUGCUUCCAGGAAAAGCCUCUAAGCAUCAGGUAACAUCAAAUCGUACCCCAAACCGACACAGGUGGUCAGGUAGAGAAUACCAAGGCGCUUGAGAGAACUCGGGUGAAGGAACUAGGCAAAAUGGUGCCGUAACUUCGGGAGAAGGCACGCUGACACGUAGGUGAAGUGAUUUACUCAUGGAGCUGAAGUCAGUCGAAGAUACCAGCUGGCUGCAACUGUUUAUUAAAAACACAGCACUGUGCAAACACGAAAGUGGACGUAUACGGUGUGACGCCUGCCCGGUGCCGGAAGGUUAAUUGAUGGGGUCAGCGCAAGCGAAGCUCCUGAUCGAAGCCCCGGUAAACGGCGGCCGUAACUAUAACGGUCCUAAGGUAGCGAAAUUCCUUGUCGGGUAAGUUCCGACCUGCACGAAUGGCGUAAUGAUGGCCAGGCUGUCUCCACCCGAGACUCAGUGAAAUUGAACUCGCUGUGAAGAUGCAGUGUACCCGCGGCAAGACGGAAAGACCCCGUGAACCUUUACUAUAGCUUGACACUGAACAUUGAGCCUUGAUGUGUAGGAUAGGUGGGAGGCUUUGAAGUGUGGACGCCAGUCUGCAUGGAGCCGACCUUGAAAUACCACCCUUUAAUGUUUGAUGUUCUAACGUGGACCCGUUACCCGGGUUGCGGACAGUGUCUGGUGGGUAGUUUGACUGGGGCGGUCUCCUCCUAAAGAGUAACGGAGGAGCACGAAGGUUGGCUAAUCCUGGUCGGACAUCAGGAGGUUAGUGCAAUGGCAUAAGCCAGCUUGACUGCGAGCGUGACGGCGCGAGCAGGUGCGAAAGCAGGUCAUAGUGAUCCGGUGGUUCUGAAUGGAAGGGCCAUCGCUCAACGGAUAAAAGGUACUCCGGGGAUAACAGGCUGAUACCGCCCAAGAGUUCAUAUCGACGGCGGUGUUUGGCACCUCGAUGUCGGCUCAUCACAUCCUGGGGCUGAAGUAGGUCCCAAGGGUAUGGCUGUUCGCCAUUUAAAGUGGUACGCGAGCUGGGUUUAGAACGUCGUGAGACAGUUCGGUCCCUAUCUGCCGUGGGCGCUGGAGAACUGAGGGGGGCUGCUCCUAGUACGAGAGGACCGGAGUGGACGCAUCACUGGUGUUCGGGUUGUCAUGCCAAUGGCACUGCCCGGUAGCUAAAUGCGGAAGAGAUAAGUGCUGAAAGCAUCUAAGCACGAAACUUGCCCCGA
rnacentral:rRNA from 1 species